AUGGCUCCCAACGACACUAAGGGAGUCUUCAAAGGAGGGCAAAUGGCCUUCAGAACAAGAGGGUCCAAGAUGACCAGUAAAUCUUCUUUGUUCCAGCUCCAGCAGAGAGGAGAUAAGAAAAAACUAUUUAUGGUCAUCAGGGAAGAGGAAGAAAUCCCUAGCUGGUCACCAAGAGCUGAAGUAAAGUCUUCCCAGAACAGAGUCUGUGAAGAUACGGCAGACGUGUUUGAGUUUCAGAUGAUCAGCAGUGCAGGAAUCAGUCUGCACAGAAAACACGAAAGUGAGAAUGGAGAAGAAGCUAUUUCACCCAUGAAAUGGGCCAGUGAGAUUCCUCACCUCCAGUCCUGGAAGAUGCCUGGAAACCGGUGCCCUUUGUCAGCCUCGUGAAUUCAUAAUCACUU
rnacentral:lncRNA from 1 species